CUUUACACAUGCAAGUCGAACGGCAGCACGGACUUCGGUCUGGUGGCGAGUGGCGAACGGGUGAGUAAUGUAUCGGAACGUGCCCAGUCGUGGGGGAUAACGUAGUGAAAAUUACGCUAAUACCGCAUACGAUCUAUGGAUGAAAGCGGGGGAUCGCAAGACCUCGCGCGAUUGGAGCGGCCGAUAUCAGAUUAGGUAGUUGGUGGGGUAAAGGCCCACCAAGCCAACGAUCUGUAGCUGGUCUGAGAGGACGACCAGCCACACUGGAACUGAGACACGGUCCAGACUCCUACGGGAGGCAGCAGUGGGGAAUUUUGGACAAUGGGCGCAAGCCUGAUCCAGCCAUUCCGCGUGCAGGAUGAAGGCCCUCGGGUUGUAAACUGCUUUUGUACAGAACGAAAAGGUUUCUACUAAUACUAGGAGCUCAUGACGGUACUGUAAGAAUAAGCACCGGCUAACUACGUGCCAGCAGCCGCGGUAAUACGUAGGGUGCAAGCGUUAAUCGGAAUUACUGGGCGUAAAGCGUGCGCAGGCGGUUAUAUAAGUCAGAUGUGAAAUCCCCGGGCUCAACCUGGGAACUGCAUUUGAGACUGUAUAGCUAGAGUACGGCAGAGGGGGAUGGAAUUCCGCGUGUAGCAGUGAAAUGCGUAGAUAUGCGGAGGAACACCGAUGGCGAAGGCAAUCCCCUGGGCCUGUACUGACGCUCAUGCACGAAAGCGUGGGGAGCAAGCAGGAUUAGAUACCCUGGUAAUCCACGCCCUAAACGAUGUCAACUGGUUGUUGGGUCUUAACUGACUCAGUAACGAAGCUAACGCGUGAAGUUGACCGCCUGGGGAGUACGGCCGCAAGGUUGAAACUCAAGGAAUUGACGGGGACCCGCACAAGCGGUGGAUGAUGUGGUUUAAUUCGAUGCAACGCGAAAAACCUUACCCACCUUUGACAUGUACGGAAGGAUCCAGAGAUGGAUUUGUGCUCGAAAGAGAACCGUAACACAGGUGCUGCAUGGCUGUCGUCAGCUCGUGUCGUGA
rnacentral:rRNA from 1 species